GACGAACGCUGGCGGCGUGCUUAACACAUGCAAGUCGAGCGGUAAGGCCCUUUCGGGGGUACACGAGCGGCGAACGGGUGAGUAACACGUGGGUGACCUGCCCUUAGCUCUGGGAUAAGCCUGGGAAACUGGGUCUAAUACCGGAUAUGACUCCAUGACGCAUGUUGUGGGGUGGAAAGCCUUGUGCGGCUAGGGAUGGGCCCGCGGCCUAUCAGCUUGUUGGUGGGGUGAUGGCCUACCAAGGCGACGACGGGUAGCCGGCCUGAGAGGGCGACCGGCCACACUGGGACUGAGACACGGCCCAGACUCCUACGGGAGGCAGCAGUGGGGAAUCUUGCGCAAUGGGCGAAAGCCUGACGCAGCGACGCCGCGUGAGGGAUGACGGCC
rnacentral:rRNA from 1 species